rnacentral:rRNA from 1 species
GACGAACGCUGGCGGCGUGCUUAACACAUGCAAGUCGAACGGAAAGGCCCUGCUUUUGUGGGGUGCUCGAGUGGCGAACGGGUGAGUAACACGUGAGUAACCUGCCCUUGACUUUGGGAUAACUUCAGGAAACUGGGGCUAAUACCGGAUAGGAGCUCCUGCUGCAUGGGGGGGGUUGGAAAGUUUCGGCGGUUGGGGAUGGACUCGCGGCUUAUCAGCUUGUUGGUGAGGUAGUGGCUUACCAAGGCUUUGACGGGUAGCCGGCCUGGGAGGGUGACCGGCCACAUUGGGACUGAGAUACGGCCCAGACUCCUACGGGAGGCAGCAGUGGAGAAUAUUGCACAAUGGGCGGAAGCCUGAUGCAGCAACGCCGCGUGCGGGAUGACGGCCUUCGGGUUGUAAACCGCUUUCGCCUGUGACGAAGCGUGAGUGACGGUAAUGGGUAAAGAAGCACCGGCUAACUACGUG